rnacentral:rRNA from 1 species
CAGCCGCCGCGGUAAUACAGAGGGUGCAAGCGUUAAUCGGAAUUACUGGGCGUAAAGCGCGCGUAGGUGGUUUGUUAAGUUGGAUGUGAAAUCCCCGGGCUCAACCUGGGAACUGCAUCCAAAACUGGCAAGCUAGAGUAUGGUAGAGGGUGGUGGAAUUUCCUGUGUAGCGGUGAAAUGCGUAGAUAUAGGAAGGAACACCAGUGGCGAAGGCGACCACCUGGACUGAUACUGACACUGAGGUGCGAAAGCGUGGGGAGCAAACAGGAUUAGAUACCCCUGUAGUCCCUGUCUCUUAUAC